GAUGAACGCUGGCGGCGUGCCUAAUACAUGCAAGUCGAGCGAACGGACGAGAAGCUUGCUUCUCUGAUGUUAGCGGCGGACGGGUGAGUAACACGUGGAUAACCUACCUAUAAGACUGGGAUAACUUCGGGAAACCGGAGCUAAUACCGGAUAAUAUUUUGAACCGCAUGGUUCAAAAGUGAAAGACGGUCUUGCUGUCACUUAUAGAUGGAUCCGCGCUGCAUUAGCUAGUUGGUAAGGUAACGGCUUACCAAGGCAACGAUGCAUAGCCGACUUGAGAGGGUGAUCCGCUACACUGGAACUGAGACACGGUCCGGACUCCUCCGGGAUGCAGCAGUAGGGAAUCUUCCGCAAGGGGCUAAAGCCUGACGGAGCAACGCCGCGUGAGUGAGGAAGGUCUUCGGAUCGUAAAACUCUGUUAUGAGGGAAGAACAUAUGUGUAAGUAACUGUGCACAUCUUGACGGUACCUAAUCAGAAAGACACGGCUAACUACGUG
rnacentral:rRNA from 1 species